CAAUGAAGAAAGUAUGGUAACGUGUAUAUAAAUUGAAUUGGGUCUUUAAGUCUGUCCUCUUUGAUACCAUUUGGCUUUGAUUUGAGGGCAUGGUUCUGCAACAAAACA